rnacentral:rRNA from 1 species
UACGGAGGGUGCGAGCGUUGUCCGGAAUCAUUGGGCGUAAAGGGCGCGUAGGUGGCCCGGUCAGUCUUUGGUGAAAGCGCGGGGCUCAACCCUGCGUCGGCCAGGGAUACUGCCGCGGCUGGAGCACUGUAGAGGCAGGCGGAAUUCCGGGUGUAGCGGUGGAAUGCGUAGAGAUCCGGAAGAACACCGGUGGCGAAGGCGGCCUGCUGGGCAGUUGCUGACACUGAGGCGCGACAGCGUGGGGAGCAAACAGG